UAGUCGCUACGAGCGCAACCUCGCUGUGUGUUAUAUGUGUCACACAGGAACUGCUGGUAUUAAGCCGGAGGAAGGUGGGACGACGUCAAGUCAGCAUGACCUUUAUAUCCAGGGCUACACACACGCUACAAUGGUCAGUACAAUGGGUUGCCAAGCCGCGAGGCGGAGCCAAUCCUAAAAAGCUGGCCUCAGUUCAGAUUGCAGUCUGAAACUCGACUGCAUGAAGUCGGAGUUGCUAGUAAACGCAGGUCAGCUAUACUGCGUUGAAUACGUUCCCGGGGCUU
rnacentral:rRNA from 1 species